rnacentral:rRNA from 1 species
CGUACACUCCUACGGGAGGCAGCAGUGGGGAAUAUUGGACAAUGGGCGCAAGCCUGAUCCAGCCAUGCCGCGUGAGUGAUGAAGGCCCUAGGGUUGUAAAGCUCUUUCACCGGUGAAGAUAAUGACGGUAACCGGAGAAGAAGCCCCGGCUAACUUCGUGCCAGCAGCCGCGGUAAUACGAAGGGGGCUAGCGUUGUUCGGAUUUACUGGGCGUAAAGCGCACGUAGGCGGACUAUUAAGUCAGGGGUGAAAUCCCGGGGCUCAACCCCGGAACUGCCUUUGAUACUGGUAGUCUUGAGUUCGAUAGAGGUGAGUGGAAUUCCGAGUGUAGAGGUGAAAUUCGUAGAUAUUCGGAGGAACACCAGUGGCGAAGGCAGCUCACUGGCUCGAUACUGACGCUGAGGUGCGAAAGCGUGGGGAGCAAACAGGAUUAGAAACCCUAGUAGUCCCAUGA